rnacentral:lncRNA from 1 species
GAAAAUCCAACAUUUUGUUGGAUAAUCCCACUAACUCUUAGUGGGAUAUGUGGCUAUAUGAGAUAUAGACACCUAGCCCACUAAGUUCCACUAAUUGUUAGUGGAAUAUUAGGUGUUGAGAUUUGGCAAAUGAAUUGCAUGCAUUUUUGCAUGUAAUUAGGCUAUAAAUAGAGAUGUUUUCAAAUGUUGAAGGACUUUUGCCUCUUUUAUCAUUUUCAUAAUCUCAACAAAAGAAAAAAGAAAGCUUCCAAUCUCAUUUUAUCUCCAUUACUUUCUACACCAAAAUUGGGUCCCACAACCCGGUUCUUUGUCUAGAGGAUAGCAGUUGAGUACUAGUGGUGGUCUCGGGUAGAAUUGGUAAGAAGACAUCAAACCUUUUGAAAGCUUCAAAGGUAAUACUUCUUAAAACCCUAAUUUGAUUAGUUUAUGGUUACAUGUUAAUUGUGGCAAUUAGGGUAGAAAUUCGAUUCUUUUUCCGCUGUGCAUGACUUAGUUCUAUCAAAUCCGAACGCCUGAUUCUUAUCGAGAGAAGGGAUCAAGCACUGAUUGCCAACUACUCGAGAGAAUAAGUAGACAAUACCUCACUAAACACACGCAAAAAGGAGUUUAGAAACAAACUUCAUUAUAGCGUUGUGCCUUCAUCGAUCAUUUAUGUCCCGAAAGGAGAACAAGUGUAGCGUUUAGGUACCAAAAUGGUUGCUCGCCUUAAUUAGAGAGAAAAUGUGAUGCUUAUAAGUAAGGAAAUCUAUAUAUAUAUCGUAUAGCUCAUUUUCAUCAUUAUUUGUGUCAUGAAAGGAGAAUAAGUGUGGUGUUUAGGCACCGAAAGGUUACUCGCCUUAAUUAUAAGAUGGUUAAAUGAUAUUUAUUGCAUCAAAGUAUCCUACAUUGCUUAAAUCACUUAAAAAGCGUAGACGUUCUACACAUUUCUUUAAUGCAAAUGAGUUCUCAUUCCAUGAUCACUUCAUUCCAUUCCACAUUCUACAUAAGCUCUUAAUGUAAAUAAUAGGAUUAGAAUGCAUUUACGUUUAUAUUGUACUAGAUUUAUACCACUUGAAAUUAGAACUAGGCGUUAUAGCUAAGAUUGAUAAGAAAUUUCCUUUGUUCGACCCUAGCUUACCCAGGAAACCUCUCGUUUUUUCUUACACUUGGAAAAACAAGAGUAAAACUUGUACUUAACGUAGACUCAGUAGAAGUAGCAACAUAUAAGUAGGAUUUGCACCUUUUAUAGCAUGAUCAUCACCUAAAGGCAUAGUUAGCAUCUUUUAUCGCAUAACCUUGUCUCCUCGCGUUACAAGUCGCAGAAAUAGAACUUUAAAUAACAAACUGAUAAAAUUAUUAUUAAGCAGACAAAGAGCGUGGCAACCAACUCGUGUACUCUAUCUCGCAUGCGAUCUGCAGAGAGAAUAGAGAUCUAAAAAAUAACACUUCAAGUUUUUAACAUCGUUGUUGGUAAACUUGUUCAUCAAACUAGAUAUAAUGUUUUACUUUGAUUUCAGACAAAUGCUCAAUUUGUGUUGAAUCAAAGAACGUUUUUACGAGUUUACAAGCACUUGAGACAUUUGCAAGUCUAGACUUGACCUAGAAAUUGAGUACAUCUUUCGACGAGAACGUGAGGAACCUUGAAGCAUUUCAACUAAAGCAAGACAAGGAAGGUCCAUCAAACCCUUGGAGGGAAGAAUUCAACCUCUUAUGUGGAGGAUAUUCAUUAAGGCAUCACCAAAAAGGUAUGCACAAUAGACGUAGUGAAACACUUGAUCAUCACUAGCUAUGCGAAGAGUGGACCAAACGAUCAUUUGCAGCAUGGGAGAAACGUGUCAAACUCCUAUAUGGAGAACAUUUCGAAGAAUGGACAUGUAAUCAAUUAUUCAAAUUGUAUAAUGUUGUAGAACUAAAAAAUGAUUGAAAGUGUUUUGAAAUAAGCAACAUGUUUAGGAUGACUACAUGAGACAUUGUUGCAACAAAGCCCCAGCAUACAUCCAUUGUCAGAAACUUUAACACACGGAUGCUUUUGUAACGUAUCAAUUUCCCUAACCAUUUCACAAAAUACAUCAUUUUUGUAUUUACUAUUUUACUUUAUCGUUUUCUUUUAAUUACAUCUUUUAUCGUUUUCUUUAUUACUAUUUAAAUUAGGAAUUCUUUACCAUGUUGGGGAAAGGUCUUUAAGCUUCUUUGCACACAAGUUAGGAGAAAAGAAAAUGUGGGAUACACGAUAAGACCAUUGAGCGAGCUAGAAAAACUGUCAUAACGCGUCAAGCGCUAAAAGCAUCUCACGAAGCUUAUCGGGUAGCAACAUGGGCUUUUUAGAGUUUACGAUUUCAGAGUGUCUGAUUUAAAAUUCUAGAAGGAGGAAAUGAUGAGUUGCCACGAAAAUAAAAAAGGACGAUAUCAUACAUCACAUCGUAAAACACAAUAAUUCUAACCUGUGCGAUAACCCUUUUUUUAAUCAUAGUUAAGCCAUUUUAUAAACCCUCAUUUUCUUUGUGAGACUCGUACCUAAAAUAGAAAGGCCAAAAUUUGACUGAAGUGUUUGAAGAAAAUGUUUUGAGUAGAGGGUUGAGAUAAAAAGUUGGCGUUUGAGUUAUUUCACGACGAAGUAAGAUAACACGAUAAGACAUUCGGUGUUUAAGGACCAUUAGACGUUUGGAGUUCAUUACAGAAUGGAGUCAUGCGAGGAAACAUUUAAUUUUGAUUUGACAGGGGUUUACGUGUAAGGUUAAGAGCUAGGCAUGGUUAAAUUAAACAUAAAACUUACAUGUGAACUACUAAGAGUAGAAGUUGGCAAGUUAUUAAGAGAGUAAGGAUUACUAAUCCAAUUUGAGAAUUAGUAUAGAUAGAGGAGUAAAGACAGACAGGGGAAAAUGUUUAAUUUAUUUAAGUAUUACUCUCCUGAGAAGAAGAGCCAUUAGGCGAGAAGAAAAGUCUGAAGCUAGCCAAGGGGAAACUAAGUUUGUGAGUGAAUUUCUAAAAGUGUUUGUAUAUUUAAAAGUUUUCUUUGAAUUUCAUAAUGUUUUCAAAAGGGCGACAUGGAGCCUUGCCAUUCAUUUUAAAAAAUGACUUUGUACACUCAUAAACAAUCCAAGAUGUUGCUUGCCUGUGAUCAUUUUUAACAAUGUCAACGGCACAC